rnacentral:rRNA from 1 species
AAUGGGCGAAAGCCUGAUGCAGCAACGCCGCGUGAGCGAUGAAGGCCUUCGGGUCGUAAAGCUCUGUCCUCAAGGAAGAAUUUUGACGGUACUUGAGGAGGAAGCCCCGGCUAACUACGUGCCAGCAGCCGCGGUAAUACGUAGGGGGCAAGCGUUAUCCGGAAUUACUGGGCGUAAAGGGUGCGUAGGUGGCCUGACAAGUCAGGGGUCAAAGGCAACGGCUCAACCGUUGUAAGCCCUUGAAACUGUCGGGCUUGAGUUCAGGAGAGGAAAGCGGAAUUCCAAGUGUAGCGGUGAAAUGCGUAGAUAUUUGGAGGAACACCAGUGGCGAAGGCGGCUUUCUGGACUGAUACUGACACUGAGGCACGAAAGCGUGGGGAGCAAA